GAUUAGGUGGCUGAGUAUAGGCUAUAAAUUGUAAAUUUAUAAACGGUUAAUUUACCCUUAAUCA
rnacentral:tRNA from 1 species